rnacentral:rRNA from 1 species
AUUGAACGCUGGCGGCAGGCCUAACACAUGCAAGUCGAACGAGUGGCGGACUUUUGAGUAAUUUCUCGGAAACUGCCUACUGGCGGUGGAUAACUACUGGAAACCGUAGCUAAUACCGCAUACCAUCUGAUGUGCCCAGAUGGGAUUAGCUAGUAGGUGGGGUAAAGGCUCACCUAGGCAACGAUCCCUAGCUGGUCUGAGAGGAUGACCAGCCACACUGGAACUGAGACACGGUCCAGACUCCUACGGGAGGCAGCAGUGGGGAAUAUUGCACAAUGGGGGCAAGCCUGAUCAAGCCAUGCCGCGUGUAUGAAGAAGGCCUUCGGGUUGUAAAGUACUUUCAGCAGGGAAGCGGUACCCGCAGAAGAAGCACCGGCUAACUACGUGCCAGCCGCCGCGGUAAUAG